rnacentral:rRNA from 1 species
UACGUAGGGGGCAAGCGUUGUCCGGAUUUAUUGGGCGUAAAGAGCGUGUAGGCGGCCAGGCAGGUCGGUUGUGAAAACUCGAGGCUCAACCUCGAGACGUCGGCGGAAACCAUCUGGCUAGAGUCCGGAAGAGGAGAGUGGAAUUCCUGGUGUAGCGGUGAAAUGCGCAGAUAUCAGGAAGAACACCCGUGGCGAAGGCGGCUCUCUGGGACGGUACUGACGCUGAGACGCGAAAGCGUGGGGAGCGAACAGG